rnacentral:ncRNA from 1 species
UAUUAUCUAGGGCAAAUUGUUCGAAAGAACAAGACGCAAAGCUAUAGGGUCUAACUUCCCAUGGAAUAUGACAGCCUGGCUGCAAAC